rnacentral:rRNA from 1 species
GAUGAACGCUGGCGGCGUGCCUAAUACAUGCAAGUCGAGCGAAUGACGAGGAGCUUGCUCCUCUGAUUUAGCGGCGGACGGGUGAGUAACACGUGGGUAACCUGCCUGUAAGACGGGGAUAACUCCGGGAAACCGGAGCUAAUACCGGAUGAUAACGAGAAGCGCCUGCUUCUUUUUUGAAAGUCGGUUUCGGCUGACGCUUACAGAUGGGCCCGCGGCGCAUUAGCUAGUUGGUGAGGUAACGGCUCACCAAGGCGACGAUGCGUAGCCGACCGGAGAGGGUGAUCGGCCACACUGGGACUGAGACACGGCCCAGACUCCUACGGGAGGCAGCAGUAGGGAAUCUUCGGCAAUGGACGAAAGUCUGACUGAGCAACGCCGCGUGAGCGAUGAAGGCCUUCGGGUCGUAAAGCUCUGUUGUCAGAGAAGAACAAGUAUCGGAGUAACUGCCGGUACCUUGACGGUACCUGACCAGAAAGCCACGGCUAACUACGUGCCAGCAGCCGCCGUAAUAC